GGCAAUNUGCCCUUCACUNUGGGACAAGCCCUGGAAACGGGGUCUAAUACCGGAUAACACUCUGUACCGCAUGGGACGGGGUUAAAAGCUCCGGCGGUGAAGGAUGAGCCCGCGGCCUAUCAGCUUGUUGGUGGGGUGAUGGCCUACCAAGGCGACGACGGGUAGCCGGCCUGAGAGGGCGACCGGCCACACUGGGACUGAGACACGGCCCAGACUCCUACGGGAGGCAGCAGUGGGGAAUAUUGCACAAUGGGCGAAAGCCUGAUGCAGCGACGCCGCGUGAGGGAUGACGGCCUUCGGGUUGUAAACCUCUUUCAGCAGGGAAGAAGCGAAAGUGACGGUACCUGCAGAAGAAGCACCGGCUAACUACGUGCCAGCAGCCGCGGUAAUACGUAGGGUGCGAGCGUUGUCCGGAAUUAUUGGGCGUAAAGAGCUCGUAGGCGGCUUGUCACGUCGGAUGUGAAAGCCCGGGGCUUAACCCCGGGUCNNCAUUCGAUACGGGCUAGCUAGAGUGUGGUAGGGGAGAUCGGAAUUCCUGGUGUAGCGGUGAAAUGCNAAANNAUAUCAGGAGGA
rnacentral:rRNA from 1 species